rnacentral:rRNA from 1 species
UACGUAGGGCGCAAGCGUUGUCCGGAAUUAUUGGGCGCAAAGAGCUCGUAGGCGGUUUGUCGCGUCUGCUGUGAAAUCCUCAGGCUCAACCUGGGGCUUGCAGUGGGUACGGGCAGACUAGAGUGCGGUAGGGGUGACUGGAAUUCCUGGUGUAGCGGUGGAAUGCGCAGAUAUCAGGAGGAACACCGAUGGCGAAGGCAGGUCACUGGGCCGCAACUGACGCUGAGGAGCGAAAGCAUGGGGAGCGAACAGG